AGCACAUUCCUUAGAUCCAUCUCUGAUAUUUAUUAAGAGAUGCUUGAGUCAUUGAUGUGCUAUAUUACGAAAUACCUUCUUUUUGGUCUUUUCAAACAGUGUUAUAAAUUAGCAUCCGUGUUAUAUUUAUAUGAAUCACUGGUUGUAUGAUCAACGAGAAGACAUU